rnacentral:rRNA from 1 species
GAUGAACGCUAGCGGCAGGCUUAACACAUGCAAGUCGAGGGGUAUAGUUCUUCGGAACUAGAGACCGGCGCACGGGUGCGUAACGCGUAUGCAAUCUACCUUUUGCAGAGGGAUAGCCCCAGAGAAAUUUGGAUUAAUACCUCAUAGUAUAGCAGUUUCGCAUGAAACCACUAUUAAAGUCACAACAGCAAAAGAUGAGCAUGCGUCCCAUUAGCUAGUUGGUAAGGUAACGGCUUACCAAGGCUACGAUGGGUAGGGGUCCUGAGAGGGAGAUCCCCCACACUGGUACUGAGACACGGACCAGACUCCUACGGGAGGCAGCAGUGAGGAAUAUUGGACAAUGGGCGCAAGCCUGAUCCAGCCAUGCCGCGUGCAGGAUGACGGUCCUAUGGAUUGUAAACUGCUUUGUACAGGAAGAAACACUCCCUCGUGAGGGAGCUUGACGGUACUGUAAGAAUAAAGGAGUCGGCUAACUCCGUGCCAGCAG